rnacentral:lncRNA from 1 species
UUCUCCUGGUUGCCGCUGUAAAAAUCGCAGGGUUAGGUCUGGUGAGCUCUGAUAGUUCAGUUUCCCAUUGCUAAACCAAUGACUCUGCAAGGGGGAUGGCGCAGGCCCCAAUCAUGUGCUCACUGCCAAAGCCUAGCUAAACCACACGGAGGGAGACUGAGUGGUUCCCCCAAAGCACAUCAGGAUGCUCUUACCUGAAGGAGGAACGGAUACUAGGUGGGCAGACAGACCUGAUGCCCUGCACUUGCAUGUCACGCUGCCAGUAAGGGGCAGCCAGACCUGAAUGCAGGUCUGGCCUCUACCUUCUCCAGGCUGCUGGAGACCACCUUGGGGACCCCGUCCUGUUCUGUCCCACCCUGGGACUCUAGCCCUGCCGCCUGAAUUCAUUCGAGUCAGCAGUUUUCAACUGUGCAUCCUGGGAGCCGCUGGAGGGAGGAAGACAGCGGAGGGGAGCAAGGAGGACGCGUGACAGAGCUCACCAGAUUCCCCUCCUCCCUCCUUGUCCUCGAGCUUACAUCACCAUUCCAGAAGAACUGACACGAGUAAGCCACGUGCUUCCGUUUAGCAUGUUUACAAACAACUGUUCUGCUCUGUCCUCCUGUGUCUGGAAAGCUGGGCUCCGUGCACCAGCCCCGCCGUGUAUUUCAAACACACUUUCUGCAGCCCCGGCCACUGUUGAUCACCAUCGCUAACCUUUCUGAGCACUUACAAAUUUCCCGGAACUAUUCGCCAAGCGCUUGACAGGUGUUGUCUCACUGACUCUUCCCCAAGGACCCCAUACCUACUAUUAUAAUCCUCAUUUUACAGGUGGGGGCGAAGUUGCAGAGAGGAAUUAAUUUCUCCAAGGUCCUCAUCCAGUCUUAAACUCAGGCGAUCAAACUCGAGACAAGGAGCUUAGUCCUAUGGCUACGCUAGAUGCUUGAUGAGUGUUUUGGACAAGGAGACUGUUGAUGGUCACCGCACCUGUACACAGACACACAGAAAGUUCUCUGCUUCCUUCGGGCCCUUUCUCCCAUCGCCCAGGGGUGGUGCUGAGCCUGAGGACUGUUCUCCUUUUUGCUUCUCUCCCACACUCUCUUGCCGGGUGUCUUCAGCAACCACACACAGGGGAUUCCAGGGAAGGAACAUCUCUUACGGAGCGGGCGCAGCUCAGAAGGUGCCAGCAGAACACGGGGGAGGUCAGGGGAGGAAAGACACACGGCCGGUUCCUUAGACUGCCUCUCAGCCGCUGA